rnacentral:rRNA from 1 species
GAUGAACGCUAGCGAUAGGCCUAACACAUGCAAGUCGAGGGGCAGCACGGGAGCAAUCCUGGUGGCGACCGGCGCACGGGUGAGUAACACGUAUGCAACCUACCCAUAACUGGGGGAUAGCCCGUCGAAAGACGGAUUAAUACCGCAUAAAACAGGGGCUCCACAUGGAGAUAUUUGUUAAAGAUUUAUUGGUUAUGGAUGGGCAUGCGCAGGAUUAGGUAGUUGGUGAAGGUAACGGCUCACCAAGCCAUCGAUCCUUAGGGGAACUGAGAGGUUAAUCCCCCACACUGGUACUGAGACACGGACCAGACUCCUACGGGAGGCAGCAGUGAGGAAUAUUGGUCAAUGGACGAGAGUCUGAACCAGCCAAAUCGCGUGAAGGAAGACGGUAUUAUGUAUUGUAAACUUCUUUUAUCAGGGAAUAAAGUGCAUCACGUGUGGUGUUUUGUAUGUACCUGAUGAAUAAG